rnacentral:rRNA from 1 species
CGGAUUGUAGUCUGCAACCCGACUACAUGAAGCUGGAAUCGCUAGUAAUCGCAGAUCAGAAUGCUGCGGUGAAUACGUUCCCGGGUCUUGUACACACCGCCCGUCACACCAUGGGAGUCGGAAAUGCCCGAAGCCGGUGACCCAACCAAAAGGAGGGAGCCGUCGAAGGCAGGUCUGAUAACUGGGGUGAAGUCGUAACAAGGUACC